GCUGGGUGCAGUGGCGUUCACCUAUAAUCCCAGGGACUCAGGAGGCUGAGGCCAGAGGAUUAUAAAAUGAAACCCAGCCUCUU
rnacentral:sRNA from 1 species